GAUGAAGAACGCAGCGAAAUGCGAUAAGUAAUGUGAAUUGCAGAAUUCAGUGAAUCAUCGAAUCUUUGAACGCACAUUGCGCCCCUUGGUAUUCCGAGGGGCAUGCCUGUUCGAGCGUCAUUAUAACCCCUCAAGCUCAGCUUGGUGUUGGGGCCUGCUGCACUGGCAGCCCUUAAAAUCAGUGGCGGCGCCAUCUGGCUCUGAGCGUAGUAAUUCUUCUCGCUAUGGAGUCCUGGUGGAUGCUUGCCAUCAACCCCCAAUUUUUCUAUGGUUGACCUCGGAUCAGGUAGGGAUACCCGCUGAACUUAAGCAUAUCAAUAAGCGGAGGA
rnacentral:misc_RNA from 1 species